rnacentral:tRNA from 1 species
AACGCUAAGAUGAACCCUAAAAAGUUCUUUAAACAC